GAUGAAGAACGUAGCGAAAUGCGAUAAGUAAUGUGAAUUGCAGAAUUCAGUGAAUCAUCGAAUCUUUGAACGCACAUUGCGCCCCCUGUAUUCCGGGGGGCAUGCCUGUCCGAGCGUCAUUACAACCCUCAAGCUCAGCUUGGUAUUGGGCCCCGCCGACCCGGCGGGCCCUAAAGUCAGUGGCGGUGCCGUCCGGCUCCGAGCGUAGUAAUUCUUCUCGCUCUGGAGGUCCGGUCGUGUGCUCGCCAGCAACCCCCAAUUUUUUUCAGGUUGACCUCGGAUCAGGUAGGGAUACCCGCUGAACUUAAGCAUAUCAAUAAGCGGAGGA
rnacentral:misc_RNA from 1 species